AGUUUAAUAGUUUAAAAAAAAAACAUUGAUUUUGUAAAUCAAAGAUGGAAACACCUUUAAAUUA